UCAGGAGUAGCUUGUUGCAGUAAGUGGAAGGUAGCUCUUGGAGUGACUUCCUCUUAGUUGUCAUUAUUUUAGUAGGGUCUUGCUCUGGUCAAUGUAACAUCUGGCUGAGGAAUGUUUACUCUAAUUUCUUUUCUCUUGUUAAAUUUGAUACUCGUGUUUGAUGAGGUUUUAAAUGGUGAUGAGUUGAUCAAUAAAACUCUUGUUAUGAUGUUAUGAAGUUGAAGUUAUGAGAUUUAAUUUCCUGAAUUGUGAUUAUUAAAUGUUUAAAUUGAUUAAUAAUGAUUCCGCUGG
rnacentral:lncRNA from 1 species